UAGGCCAGAGUCAACGUGAAAGAAAUGAGAUGAUUGUGGAACGUUCCUGAUCGCAGAGCAGCCCAUGUGUCUUUGAAGAAAGAGCCGCUUCUUUCCCCUCACCGUGUGACGUCAGAGGAAAGGCCACGCCUCGCUGGACAGCAAGCAAUGACAAGUUCUGACGAUGUGGGCCCGUGAGCGCGGGGGUCUGCCCCGACUGGUUCCAGAGUGCAGAUGGAAUGGGUGUGUGCCCCAUCGGCGUCCGCUGGGUUUCACGGUGGCCUGGUGUGUGAGCGUGUCGCCCUCACCUUCAUGCUUCCUCAUUAUCAGAAACAGAACCAAUGGAUCAGAACUCCCGAGUCUCUGUCAAGUCCCAUGGCUUCACUCUGAGUUUGGAGGCAGGGCCCGGACCCCGGUGGAUGGAAUCGUUGUCUCUACACCCAUCACUCUGCCUUCUGUCCUCACCCUUGCCACGGCCUCGCUGUGGGUGGAGUGUAACCCCUUGACCCUGGGUUCUGCCAUGUGACAUCCUUGGGCCAGUGACACAUGGAUGGAAGUGAGGGGUUGCCAGUCCCAAGCUCAAGUCUCGAGAGCCCUUGGAUUUUCUGCUUUUUCCCUGUGUGUCAGAGAAGACCUUCUAGGUCUCUGGGCCCUGAGGUUUAUACUUGGGGGGCAGAGAUGAGCCAAGCCUCAGCGAGCGCCAAGAUAAGCUACGCCCAAAGCUUGAGACGGGGCCUGAACCAACCAGCGUCCGGCUGACGUGCAGACCCACAGACCUGCAGGUGCAUGGGUGACACGAGUGACGACUACUAAGAUUUGGGGUGGUUUAUUGUAUAGCAUGACUGCAGCAACCGUUAACCGAUACACUUAUCUCCUAAUGGAAAGCCACAGUAUGUUGACCUUGGACACCAGUCAUGGCUGGGACACAGGAAGCACCCAAGCGGAGAGGCCACUCUUGCUCUGACUUGAGGGCUGGGAUCUGCAUGAAGGAGAAAGUGUGUGACUCAAUUAAGAUACAAUUAAGAUCCUCCUCCAUGGUCUCCCUUUUAUCUACUGUCCUCAUUAUCCUGCUUCCUUUUCUUCUCACCGUGGGACUGGUGCUGUUGUUGCAUGCUGAUGAGUUUGUCUGUGGCCCAACUUCUGAACUAGAGAUAUCUGGCUCUGAGAAAAAAGAAAACAGCCCCCAUGUUGUGAGCUAUGCUAUGGAGAGGCCCACGUGGGGAAGAGGCUGGUGAGGAAUUCUGAGUCAGAGGCACCAAGGGGCACCCAGCUAAGGUGUGCCAGAUUCCUGACCAAUAGGCAUGCCACAGAUCACGAAGAAGUGUAAGUGGUGCAGUCUGAGGCCUGCCAGCAGCCAUCGAUGUCAAGGAGCCAGCUUGGAAACAGACCAUUCCGCCCCAGUCAGGCCUUCGACUGCUUGCAACCCCGGCUGACAUCUUGACUGCAAAAUCAUGAGCAACUUGGAGCCAGAAGCACCGAUUCAAGCUUCCUCUGAAUUCCUGACCAGCAGAAAUUGUGAGCUGCCUGAAAAUGAUCCGUGAAACUGUCUGAAGAGACUCUUCCGUCAUCACUGCAAGGCAGGGCUCGGGCUACGUACGGCUGAGCAGGCACGUGUUCUCAAAUAAGAAAGGUUAUGUAGGAAAGAGAGAGGACAGAUCAAAGAUCGGGACAGUGACUUGGUCAAGUCAUGAAAUCCUUCCGAGCCUCAGUGUUCUCAUCUGGAAAAUGGGAAUAAGAACACACACAUUUGUUGCACAGAGUUAUUUUAAGGCUUAAACAAGGUGGAGGUCUCGAUCGGGUAAGCUCAGAGUUAAUCGCUUGAAGACCUUGGUCUUACGAUCUUUCCCAAGGCCUAGGUUGAUUUUAUUUUCUUCAUCUCUAAGGGGAGGAAAUGCACACCUAGGGAGGUUCAUAAAAUUGCCAGGCCUGGGUUUAUGACAGGCAGAGCAGGGGUGGGGGCACCUGGGAGCUCUGGCUGCUUUGGGGUGGUCCCCACGCAGCAUCUUGGUGGUUCCAUUUCUGUUAAGGAGGAAGACGCGUGGGUGUGGGUUUCUCCUCUCUGCAUCUCAAAGUCAUUCUUCCUUUAUGGCAACACAUAAUAGGCGUUUGCUGAAUUGAUUUGAUGAGACUCUAAACAGAGCAACACAAAAUAAAAUGGCCUUGGGAAAAGACGAUAGUGAAGUGACCAAGUUUUCGAUGAAGACCAAGCAAAUAGAUAGGUUUCAUAAGAAGUCCAUGCAUCACCGAGAGCAGAACUGCCUCAGUCAUAAGUAUACGGGAGUCAAGGCUCCUAGAGUUGGAAGGUCUUUACAGAUUCUCUUUCUUCAACUCUCGUCUCACAGAUAAGGAAAAUAAGAGGAAGGGAUUUGGCCAGAGUGACCCAGAAGACGAAAGGUGUUGCCAGGUCCUUCCUAAUCGCUAUAUUUCCAGUAAACCCAGGACCAUAAGUGCAUCAAAAAAGUGGCCAAAGUUCCAGACCCGUAUUUGCAGUUCUUAAUCCAGAAUACCAAGCUAUGGUGGGUUCAUCAAGGCUCAGUCGGAGCCCCUUAUCCGACCAGAUCCCAGAGGCCGGCAGGGCGGAAUGUUGAGACCUCUUAGGCACUAGAAAUAUAUCACAAGGCUGACCAUGACCCAGAAAGGCCCCCCAAAGAUGCAACAUGGAACCUGGAUGGGACGUAAGAUGAUGGUGUCCAGGUAGAGGAUGGAUGAAUAGUUGUUGUUGUGUUGUGUUGUGUUGGCAGGAGGCUGAAUGGGAGAAAUAGGGGGAGACAGGAAGGUGUCAGAAAAGUGGCACAGGGUGGGUAAGAACAAGAAAGUUCCUGCACGAACUGAGGCAGGUGGGAGAAAGAACGCCAGGGCCAAACUUCUAGAACUGGAGUGUAACACAUCAGCCUGGCUCCAAAAAGACAAAAACAAAGAAGAACAAAACAAAAAAAUCCAAAGGGAUGCCCAGGCACAAGGAAUGGAUGUAAAAGCAGCGCAAGUCUAGUGUGGACGGAACGGGACAGCUGGCCUGGCGCCCCAUUAACUAUCUUAGGAUCCAGAAAGAGGAUUGUCUAGGGGUGGUAGUCGUAGUUCCAAUUAUGUUGGAAAGGCUACGGGGGGGAGAAGGCAGACGGGUCCCGUUCUGUAAACUGUACCCAGAACCCACUUCACCCAGAGGGAAAGGAAAGGAAACCAGAGGCAGAGGAGUUGAGGCGUAAAGGUUUCUAAAGCAUUUAUUUCCAAGACACACUUUAAAAAAAAAAGUUGAGAACAAGUGGCAAUAAGAUCUAAGGGCUGGGGCCCUUUUUUACUGAGCUGACAUUUCUCAGUCCUACAGUGGACAACAAGGAAGGGAGGGCAGAGCUCUCUCCACAGAGCCCUGGGUCGUAUCUGGAGGAAAACCAAAGCCUCGAGGUCUCCUCCCACUUCUGGUCUUCAGCAUAUUUUUGGAAAUAUAUGGUACGGUUAACGUCCCAUUCUCAUAAAGAUUUGAGCCUUGAAAUCUCUGGCUUUAUUCACAGCUGGACCUGGGCCUAUUGACCAUUGCUUAAGUGAUUCCAUGCCUGGGGGAGCCUAAGUUGGGGCUUUCAUGUUCAAAGGACACGGUCCAUUGAAGACUCGGAAUAUGGACUUGCUCUGAUGUUCUUAGUCUUUGGUUCUCAUAGCCAAAAUAAGGCUGAUUUCAAAAAGGUGACUGUUAUUAUCUUCCUCUGUUCCCCCACUUUCCAUAUUAUCAACUGUUUGAGGGCAGAGGAGGAUAAUGCUACAUAGGAGCGGAGGAGUGGCCGUGCCGGCAGAGUUUAACUUGGGCUCUCAGUGUUUCUUUCCAGUCGGCAAACAUCUCCACGACACCCUUCUGUUAUGAAAAGCACACCAUGUCAGAUGAGCCUUUCAGCUGCACUUUGACGGUUGGACUUGAGACAAAAGAAGAAAGAUUUUGAAAUCUGUAUUCAGCCAGCAUUGUCUGAAAUUCCAAAUCGGCACAAAUUUAAAGGAGGGUCCCCAUUCUUUCCUUUCAUUGGGAGCAUAAUGGGAAUGUUAAGCGUUGUCCC